CCUGUUACACUUUGCUGCAUAGUUACAGAUGACCCUUAUCAGUUUUUCAGGGCCAAGACGUUCAUCACAGUUUCAUAGCACAUCAGGAUCCAUCUGGUUUUAAAAGGACUGAAGUUGUAAUCUAAUCACAACACAAGGAACACAAGCGAUACUAUUUUCCUUAUCACUGGCGACACUGCUAUAGCAUUACAUCCCACUUCAAGUACCAUGGCAACAGCCUAUGGAAUUCGGGAUUGGCAGUUUAGUGAGGAGGAGCAUUCAGAAUUCUCUGCCAGAGCUCUUGGGCCUCAUGGAACCACAAGCCCAGAGUGCCACAGAGUGUUGUUAUGGCAGCUCAAGCAGAAUAACAGUGCUACACCAGUGAAGUGUGCUAAAGGUCAUAAUACCAGGCACCUCUGCCCAGCUAGGAAGGCUUAAAUAUAAUACUGUGGUGUGUAUAAAUGAACUGUGUUUUAUGCCUCGACCUUCCUUUUUAUGUGUGUGUGUGUGUGCAUGUGUAUGUAUGUACACACACACACACAUAUACACACAUAGUAUACAUAUAACUAAACUAUACAUACAUAUACAGACAGUUUCCCAGGUUACAAACAAGAUAGGUUCUAUGUUUGUUCUUAAGUUGAAUUUGUUUGUCAGUUGGAACAGGUACAUUUUUAAAGUAAUUCCAGCCAAUAUAAAAGCUUUAGAUAGUCUAGAGAAGGGUUAACACCCUGUGGUAUGUGUUUUGCUGUCUGUUCAUGUUCAGAAAAUUAGAUUAUAGGAUUGUGACCUGUUGGUAUUGGGUUAUCUAGAAAUCAUUCAUGCAUUUUCAAUGUGGGAUAGUUUAUGUAGUUAGUUUUGUUUGAUGCUUAGUAACCUGAAGCCAGAGCUGCAUUCCAGAGUUGAUGGCACCAUUUUAGGGGUUUUGCAUGUGAUGUGGGAAAUGGGAGUAUACUUCCUGGAGACAUACAGGAAGUUACAUAUGCAUUUAGAAGUUGGGGCAUAAAAGGGGAGACCUUCUUUUGUUCUCUCUCUUCCUGCCUCUUGAUUCUGCCAUGCUGCCUGCUGAUGUUACUUCUUGUUAAGAGAUAUGUAGUAUCCUGAGAUGUAUUCUUUUGGAACUAAGAUGUUUUUACCUGUAUGACCAUCAUCAUACAAGAUUAACCUGCAACAGGAUUUUCCAGGGAAUGAGAUUCCAGAUUAGAGCACCAGCCAGCCUUCCCGCAAUCUAUGCCCAGUCUUCAAUGCACUAUAUAAUUAUUAUCCCACCAUCUUUCUGCUUAGACAGAUAUCAUUUGGUGGAAGUACCUGAAGCAGGAACAAGGAAUAAGACUAUAUCUGGUCAUAAUCGUGUUGGGUUUUGGGUUCGGGUUCUGCAGCCUGGAGUUCAUGUUACCUGAGAAUCUUUGACUUGGACUGACUUCUCGUGAGUGUGGCUUUCUCCCUCCCUGGAUUGUGGACUGACUUGAUGAUGACUUUGUUUGACGGAAACGACGUAUCCUUUGGCUUUCUUCGGCGACGACUCUUAGACUACGGCUGGCUUUGACAACUCCUUCUUUCAGUUAGCUCUUUGGGGCAGCGCUGUCUGUUGGAACUCUUGUGUAUUGCGCUGCUUGUUUGCUGGUUACUUUGACUGCUUUUUAAUCCAGUUUUUCCUCCUGUUUAACCCGGAUUAUUUUCUGUUUGCCUUUUGGAGCCCAGUUUGGGUAAAUUCUUUGAGUUUUGGCCAGAGACACUGAAACUAAGUGUCUCUGAGCUUUUAUUUGUUUUUUGCAAUAAACCUUUUGUUGGACUAAAUAGUGUGUGUGGCUCUUUAAGGCCUCUGUGUCUCAACAGGGUUGGUUUAACCUCCGGUUUGCUAGUAAAAUUAAAUUACUGUGUCACAAAAUGAUGCAUGUCUAAAAAGUAUGUCACCAACAUGAAAUGUUUGGAAAGCUCUGCUGUAACAUGUAGCUUUGAUUCAGUAGCUCUCCCGCCAAGUAACUCUGAAAUUAUGCUGUACUAUUAAAAUCAAUAAAGGUCCUUUGCCAGUA